AAAUAUGAAGUAAUAAUUACAAUUAGUUUCGACCUAAUAAUAAAUACUUUUGUAUUCUUAUUU
rnacentral:tRNA from 1 species